AUUCACAUGAGAGGAAACUGGUUAGGAUGUUUCGGGAAUAACCCAGGAACAAGGCUCAAGGCUCCAUAAAAACAUAGAAACUGCUGGAAGAGCAGCGUCAGUAUCCAAAGUGAAGCAAGUUUUACAUUACCACAGACUGAGAGGAUGCCAACUAAGAAAGGAAGUACUCCAGAGGGAAGAUGUCUUUUUUGAAUCAUCGGGCGAAAGGUUUUGCCGUCUCUGUUGAGGUCACCCUUGGACAACUUCUCAGUAGUUACUUUGAGAAAAAGAUAAAGAGCAAAAGGAAGAGAUGGAGAUGUUAUUUGGUCGGAUGGUGAAAAACACAGGCCUCGCUGAGAGUGCAAGCAUCCAAAAAUCGAAAGCUUUCACACAUUAGAAAUUGACUAAAAAAGGUCUGAGGAUUUUCCCACAGUUCACUGUGCCGUGGGGAAAAUACGACACGCAUAUGUAUUAUUGUUGUUUUUACUCUUGAUUAGCAACAGAUUAAAACACAACUCUUCACAAAUAAUACAGAUAACUCA